rnacentral:rRNA from 1 species
CUCCUACGGGACGCAGCAGUGAGGAAUAUUGGUCAAUGGGCGAGAGCCUGAACCAGCCAAGUCGCGUGAAGGAUGACGGCCCUACGGGUUGUAAACUUCUUUUGUCAGGGAGCAAUUGGGUCCACGCGUGGGCUUAGCGAGAGUACCUGAAGAAUAAGCUCCGGCUAACUACGUGCCAGCAGCCGCGGUAAUACGUAGGGAGCAAGCGUUAUCCGGAUUUACUGGGUGUAAAGGGCGUGUAGGCGGGCCUGUAAGUCAGAAGUGAAAUCUGGGGGCUUAACCCCCACACUUCUUUUGAAACUGCG